rnacentral:tRNA from 1 species
AUUCCCGUAGACAAAUUGGUAUAGUCACCACACUUUCACUGUGGGAUCUGUGGGUUCAAGUCCCAUCGGGAAUG